UCGCCUGUUUUAUCAAAAACAUCACCUCUAGCAUCACCAGUAUUAGCCCUCCCCCCGUUUUUACAAAAACAUUGUAUUAAGUUUAAUUUAAUAUAUAAUCUGCUCAAUGAAAUUUUAAAUAGCUGCAGUAUUUUGACUGUGCAAAGGUAGCAUAAUAAUUAGUCUUUUAAUUGAGGACUAGAAUGAAAGAUUGGAUGAGAAAUAAACUUUAUUAUUUAUAUAAUUAAAAUUUUAUUUUUAAGUAAAAAAGCUUAAAUUAUUAAAAGGGACGAUAAGACCCUAUAAAACUUUAUAAAUAAUUAUAUUUAAUUUUCUUUGUUAUAUAAGUAUUUAAAUUUAUUUAUUUAUUUUAUUGGGGUGAUAAAAAAAAAUUGAACUUUUUUUAAAAUUUUACGUUAAUUAAUGAAUCUUUGAAUUAAAAUUUUUAUUUAAAGGAAAAAGUUACUUUAGGGAUAACAGCGUAAUUAAUUUUUUAAGUCCAAAUUUAAAAAUUAGUUUGCGACCUCGAUGUUGAAUUAAGAUUAAGCUUAGGUGCAAAA
rnacentral:rRNA from 1 species